AUGGGUGUUACGCACGAUUCGUCUCGGAUACACCAUCCAGUUUCGAAAAGGCCCGCCUCCUUUCCGCGGAAUUCUUCCCACGGUUGUGAAACCAGAGGAAGUCGCGGUGCUGCGGCAAGAAAGGACAGCUCUGCUGAAGAAAGGGGCUAUAGAAGAAGUACACCCCUCUCAGAUGGAGUCCGGUUUUUACAGCCGCUAUUUUGUUGUACCAAAAAAAGGGGGCGGUUUGCGACCCAUAUUGGAUCUACGCCGUUUGAAUCUUGCACUCAGGACGAGCAAAUUCAAGAUGUUAACGGUAAAGUCCAUUUUGUCUCAGAUUCAACCAAACACUUGGUUUGUCACGAUCGAUCUGAAGGAUGCAUAUUUUCAUAUUCAGAUCAUCAAGAGACACAGGAAGUUCCUCAGAUUCGCUUUAGAGGGCAAAGCGUAUCAAUACCGUGUUCUUCCUUUCGGCUUAGCCCUGGCUCCCCGAACUUUUUCAAAAUGCAUGGACGCAGCUCUGGCCCCGUUGCGGCUCCAGGGCGUUCGUGUGUUGAAUUACUUGGACGAUUGGCUGGUGUUAGCUCAAUCACAGACUCAAGCACUCUCUCACCGAGAUUUAGUGCUGAAUCAUUUAAGCAGCCUGGGCUUAUGCACGAAUUUCCAGAAGAGUGUUUUAAUCCCCUCUCAACGGAUAACCUUUCUGGGAAUAGAUUUGGACUCUCGCGCGAUGACAGCCAGACUAUCUCUCCCGCGCGUUCAGUCUCUCACGUCAUGCGUGCGUCACUUCAAAGUAGGUCGCACAGUGACGGUGAGUUUGUGUCUCAGGCUGUGAGGUCUGAUGGCAGCGGCAUCCCCUGUAAUCCGUCUGGGCUUACUUCACAUGCGCCCUUUUCAGUGGUCGACGAAAAGUCAGAACAUUUCACCCCGUUGUUUUCCGCAUCGUACGAUUUCGGUGACACGGAGGUGUGUUAUGUCAAUAAAACAGUGGAUGUCAACCGAGUUCCUUCUAGCCUGAGUUCGGCUGGGGAUUUGUGCUUCCCGAGAGACUGUCACGACGGACGCGGCUUUGACCGGUUGGGGAGCUGUUUGUCAAGGGCGCCCAGCUCACGGAGUGUGGACGGCGACACAACGCGGUUGGCACAUAAACAGGUUGGAACUACUGGCAGUUUUUCUAGCUCCCCAGUAUUUCUCAAAUCUGCUGACCGGCCGUCAUGUACUACUCAGGUCAGACAACAUGGUGGUUGUGUCAUACCUGAAUCAUCAAGGAGGGUUACGCUCUCGCCCCCUGUGCAGGCUGGCGAGGAGUAUUCUUCUUUGGUCUCAGAACAGAUUUCUAUCGAUCCGAGCAGUUCAUGUCCCCGGACGUUUGAACGUCGGAGCGGAUCUGCUAUCCAGACAGACUCUGGAGCAGGGGGAAUGGAGAUUACACCCACAGACGGUGAGCCUUUUAUGGCGGAUAUUCGGAGAGGCGAGAGUGGACUUAUUCGCGUCGAGCACGACUACGCAUUGCCCGCUGUGGUUCUCCCUAUGCCAUCCAUCGCCCCUAGGCUUGGAUGCGUUAGCUCACGAUUGGCCCAGGACCAGCUUGUAUGCUUUUCCUCCAAUUCGUCUAAUUCCAGCGGUGUUGUCCAGGAUACGGCUGGACAGAGUGGAGCAGUUGCUGCUGGUGGCUCCGUGGUGGCCCACACAGCCGUGGUUUGCGGAACUGGUCAGUCUAAUAGCGGGCUCUCCAUGGGAGAUUCCCCUCAGACAGGACUUACUAUCGCAAGCACGAGGGAUGAUUUGGCACCCGAGGCCAGAACAGUGGAAACCGUGGGCGUGGCCUCUGAGCGGAGUGAGUUAAUAUGUCCCGGUCUUUCUGCGGAAACCUCCGAGACUAUUAUGAAUUCUAGAGCAGCAUCUACGAGACGCUUAUAUGCUUUCAAAUGGAAGCUGUUUACGACCUGGUGUGGUUUUCGUAGUAUGGACCCAGUUUACUGCCCAGUGGCUUCAGUACUGGAGUUCCUUCAAGACCGUUUCUCUGAUGGAGUGACGCCAGCAACUUUGAAAGUUUAUGUGGCAGCCAUUUCAGCUAACCACGUAUAUAUAGAUGGUGCUUCAAUGGGCCGUCAUCCGCUGGUCUCUCGCUUUUUACAAGGUGCGCGACGGCUGAGGCCUUUCCGCCCUGUGCGAGUUCCCUCAUGGGAUUUAUCUAUUGUACUGCAAGGUCUAUCAGGACAUCCGUUUGAGCCCUUGGAAACCAUACCGGAUAAAAUCCUGACCUUGAAGACAGUUCUUCUUAUGGCUUUAUCCUCCCUCAAGAGAGUUGGGGAUUUACAGGCUCUUUCUGUUUCGCCGUCGUGCAUGGAUUUUGCACCGGGCUUUGUGAAGGUAUUGCUGCGACCGAGGCCUAAUUAUGCCCCUAAAGUCGCUUCGAACCCCUUUCAUUUUCAGCAGACGGACCGGGAGGCUUUACCCCCUGCUGGGACAGGAUCAGAAGAUCUAAGUCUUUGCCCUGUCAGAGCGCUCAAGACUUAUGUCGAUCGAUCAGCCUCAUGGCGUGAGUCCGACCAGCUGUUUGUCUGUUUUGGACACAAGAAUAGAGGCCAUGCUGUCACAAAGCAACGCAUGUCCCAUUGGUUGGUGGAGGCAAUAUCUUUAGCCUAUGAGGCGCGCGGUCUCGCUUCGCCUCUAGGAGUCAAAGCUCAUUCCACUAGAGCAGUUGCUUCCUCUCAGGCGGCCCUCAGUGGAUCUUCUAUGGCUGAUAUCUGUGCUGCGGAAGGAUGGUCCUCACCGAACACUUCUAUCAAGUUUUACAGUUUGGAUGUAAGGACGGCUCCUGGCUCCCGGGUUCUCUCCGCUUGA
ensembl:lncRNA